CUUUGGAGCAGCCGCACAGCCAGGUGUGAGCAUCCAGCAGACGGGGGCUGGACUUUCAUGCUUGAAAAAGCCUCUGUGACACUUUAACUCGAAAGUCCAGAGAGCAAAUGGCUGUGUCCUGACGGCUCUGACCCUGCUGGGGACAGCAUGCUCAUUCUUGAGUUGGACCUCUUGCCCUGCAGAACAGCUGAGAACAUUUUUCCGGAGUCAGCUUGGACCCAGGCAGAACCUUGGGUUUGUGUGGAUGGGUGGCUGAGAUGUUUAUCGCCAUACUAUCUUUUGGUUUCGUUUUUAGUGAAAAUGUGGUUGAUUUACAAGGAUGAACCCUGGCUGGCAGAUUCCUGAUGUUGUGUGGAGGCUGCUGUCCAAAAAUAAACCCUUGUGUGGAGGAGGGGAGAGACGUUUGACGAGCGCACCAGCCAGCCUCCGUGUUCAGUGGCGCUUACUGGUUCAUGUCUGCAAAUUUUCUCUUCCGAUAAAAAGCUAAAUGGGGCUCCUUAAGUUCCCCCGGUGUAAUUUUUUUUUAAAAAAAGAAAGGACAAGUUAAAAAUAGCCUAAGAACAAAUCUUCGAGGCAAUGAAAGCUUCGGUCGUUAGGAAGCCCUGGUGAUGAAGGCCAGGGAGGGUUUUCACACUUGAAAUUCAAAAUCUGCAGGACCAGAGGAAAAGACUUGUGGCUGCCCGAUGGGAGGGGGAGGGAGUGGGAGGGAUCGGGAGCUUGGGCUUCUCAGACAGACACAACUUAGAAUAGAUGUACAAGGAGAUCCUGCUGAGUAGCCUUGAGAACUUUGUCUAGAUACUCAAGUUGCAACAGAAGAAAGGGUGGGGGAAAAAUGUAAUUGUAAUGUAUACAUGUAAGGAUAACUUGAUCCCCUUGCUGUACAGUGGGAAAAUUUUUAAAAAUUAAAAAAAAAAAAAUCUGCAGGACCGCACCCACCCCCCUCCCCGUCCCUGUCCCCCUGCCCCCCCCCCCCAGCACACUGCCCGGGAGGGGAAGGCUGGAGGGCGGGG
rnacentral:lncRNA from 1 species